GUUCCGAUAGCUCAGCGGGAAGAGCGCCGCCCCGACACGGCGGAGGCCGCCGGUUCGAUCCCGGCUCGGGACA
rnacentral:tRNA from 1 species